UGUUUCAACAUAUAUGUUCAUGAAAAGUUACAUGCAUCUCUUUGGACACGUAAGAAUUGGAGGCAAAGAAAUGUGGAUUUGGAGAAGUCUGGGGCCAGCUUACUCCCCACAGGCUCAAGAUCAACCAUCCCACAUAG